rnacentral:rRNA from 1 species
AUGUCAUUACAUAUCCGCACACAUUUAGCAGCAGCGGACGAAAGGGUUACACCCGUUAAGAUUCCUCCAUAUGAAAUUCGGACCAAGAUCUUUUUCAUGAUUUACAGUAUGUCCAUUGAUAAUAUAGAAGCUAAUGGAUUCAAAUUUUAUCAAGUGUUGAUGGAACAAUAUUAUCCUUGGUUUGCACAGUACAUGGUCAUGCAAAGGGUAUGCAUCGACCCAAAUUUUCAUGACAUAUGUUUAAUGUUCCUUCAUAAAGUAAACUCACCAGUAUUGGACAUGGAAAUACUGAAAGCUACAUACGCGAACUGCAAGAUAUUAUUACGAUCCGAUAUUACCAAAUCUUGUUCAGGCGAACGCACAUUACUGAAAAAUAUAGGUAUUUGGUUUGGAAAAUUUGCCAUUCAAUGGAACCAGGACCCAAGCACUUAUGUAGAUGGCCUAAUACCUCUUAUAGUAAAGGCGUAUCAGAAAGGGUUGAUGCUUGCUGUAGUUCAAUUCAUUUCAAAGAUUCUUGAACCUUGCCAGCCAACUAUUAGUGUUGGGACAAUGGAGAUUCUUAGUCUACUUGCUGAGAUCUAUACAAAGCCAGACCUCCAACUUUCUCUGGAAUAUAACAUAGAGGUCUUGUUUAAGAACUUUGGUGUGGAUGCAGAACAUACCAAAACAAAUUACCUUCUUAAAGAUGUAAAACUUGAAGUUGCGGGAAAUCAAGAGUUUGCAGUGAAAGAUGUUGUGCAUGUACCAACAUGGUUGUGUCCGACUUUUCUUGAUCAGGAAGGGGAGGCAUCUAUGCCACUCACCCAGUACAUCACUAGUCUGAAACCAAUCAUGCACACUGUCAAGCUUGUUGGUGAGAUGAGAAACCAUUGGUUUUAUUGGGUGGUAGCGGAAAAGGCCAAGAGCCUCAUGGCAUCAAUUAUCAGAGCACUACACGAUCUUCAUGAAGUUAAUAUAUGUCCUGUACAGUUUUAUGCAUCAAACAUUGUCGUGACAUAUUAUGGGAGAGUGAAAAUCAGAGCUGCAUGUUUCAAGAAGACCGUUCCUAUGAUGCGCAAAAACUAUGAGGAUGUCAGCAAUAUUAUUAUGGACACACUGUUUGUUGACUACAAGCUAACUAUUAUCCCCAAAGAUGUUGUUCAUCUACUUUCAUUGAUGAAGUCUCCCAUUGCAACAGGUAUGAAGUAUGUGAUAGGGACGCACGCCUCUCUUAUUCCUCUUGGGAACAGGUUUCAAUUCUAUCUGGAUAUGUGCGACCAUAUUACAUCUGUGGUGGACCCUGAACUUAGGUCAAAUAUUCAUGAAGCUCUAGAUGAUCCCUAUGGUGAGAACUGGUCAGUGUUGCUGAAAUAUAACGUUUUGCUGAAGGAGUCAUUCUACAGAUCCGGGUCGUCAUACAAUACCAAAAAAGGAGCCAUUGAAUUUAUGAGGUUUUAUAGGAACACACUUGCACACAGAAUGGAUAAAUGGAAGAAACCGUUGCAGAAUGUUGGAGAUUUCAGAACAUUGAUAUACACUAAAGAGGAUAUUGAAAUGAUCUUACUGGUUACCUAUCCAAUGAUCCUGCCGAGAAUGCAAGAAGAACUCCAGAAUCAUAAGCGACUGAAGGAUUUGAAUCUUCAUAACCUAAACUUCAAGUAA